GUGGGGAAUAUUGGGCAAUGGGCGAAAGCCUGACCCAGCAACGCCGCGUGAAGGAAGAAGGUUUUCGGAUUGUAAACUUCUGUCCUCAGGGAAGAAGGAAGUGACGGUACCUGAGGAGGAAGCCCCGGCUAACUACGUGCCAGCAGCCGCGGUAAUACGUAGGGGGCGAGCGUUGUCCGGAAUGACUGGGCGUAAAGGGCGCGUAGACGGCUGUCUAAGUCUGGAGUGAAAGUCCUGCUUUCAAGGUGGGAAUUGCUUUGGAGACUGGAUGGCUUGAGUGCGGAAGAGGUAAGUGGAAUUCCCAGUGUAGCGGUGAAAUGCGUAGAGAUUGGGAGGAACACCAGUGGCGAAGGCGACUUACUGGGCCGUAACUGACGUUGAUGCGCGAAAGCGUGGGGAGCGAACAGGAUUAGAAACCCGGGUAGUCC
rnacentral:rRNA from 1 species